GAGCCCAACCGUUAUCGGAUUUACUGGGCGUAAGCGUGCGUAGGCGGUUUGAUAAGUCGAUUGUGAAAGCCCCGGGCUCAACCUGGGAAUUGCGGUCGAUACUGUCAGACUCGAAAACGGUAGAGGGAGGCGGAACUCCAGGUGUAGCGGUGAAAUGCGUAGAUAUCUGGAAGAACACCGAUGGCGAAGGCAACCUCCUGGGCCUGUUUUGACGCUGAGGCACGAAAGCGUGGGUAGCAAACAGGAUUAGAUACCCUGGUAGUCCACGCCGUAAACGAUGAGAACUUGACGUUGGUUUGCUUAGCAAAUCGGUGUCGUAGCUAACGCGAUAAGUUCUCCGCCUGGGGAGUACGGCCGCAAGGUUGAAACUCAAAGGAAUUGACGGGGGCCCGCACAAGCGGUGGAGUAUGUGGUUUAAUUCGAUGCAACGCGAAGAACCUUACCUGGUCUUGACAUGUCAAGGAGUCUGCAGAGAUGCGGAUGUGCCUUCGGGAACUUGAACACAGGUGCUGCAU
rnacentral:rRNA from 1 species